CUACGGGUGGCUCCAGUGAGGAAUAUUGCACAAUGGGGGGAACCCUGAUGCAGCAACGCCGCGUGGAGGAUGACGCAUUUCGGUGUGUAAACUCCUUUUAUAUGUCAAGAAAAUGACGGUAGCAUAUGAAUAAGCACCGGCUAACUCCGUGCCAGCAGCCGCGGUAAUACGGAGGGUGCAAGCGUUACUCGGAAUCACUGGGCGUAAAGGACGCGUAGGCGGGUUGGAAAGUCAGGUGUGAAAUCCUACAGCUUAACUGUAGAACUGCACUUGAAACUUCUAAUCUAGAGUAUGGGAGGGGAAGAUGGAAUUAUUGGUGUAGGGGUAAAAUCCGUAGAUAUCACUAGGAAUACCUAAAGCGAAGGCGAUCUCCUGGAACAUUACUGACGCUAAGGCGUGAAAGCGUGGGGAGCAAACAGGAUUAGAUACCCUCGUAGUC
rnacentral:rRNA from 1 species